rnacentral:rRNA from 1 species
GACGUAGGGGGCGAGCGUUGCCCGGAUUCACUGGGCGUAAAGCGCGUGUAGGCGGUCUGUUAAGUCGGAUGUGAAAGCUCCGGGCUCAACCCGGAAAUUGCAUCCGAUACUGGCAGACUUGAGGACGGUAGAGGUCGGUGGAAUACCAGGUGUACCGGUGAAAUGGGCAGAUAUCUGGUGGAACACCAGUGGCGAAGGCGGCCGACUGGGCCGCUCCUGACGCUGAGACGCGAAAGCCAGGGUAGCGAACCGG